AAAUAGGUGCUUUCCACUCAGGUCAAAGUCAGGACACUGAAUGAGUAAUAGAAAAACAAGAGUCAUAUGAAGUAAACAAAAGGCUGGAACCGAGGUUAUAAGAACCCCUCACACUGACAAACGCAUCUUUUUCCAUCGCAAUGAUCAGGGACAUGCUGGCAGGAAGACUUCAUUUUUGAAUCUUCCCCUUUAAUUGGGCAAGACUAAAAGAACAUCAUAAUAAGAAAGAACCGGGGAAGAGUGCUUCAACUCAUCAGACAGUACUACCUCAGGAGUACCCUGUUAGGAUGUAGGCCGCCCACCCUCAUCAAGCCGGGAGUCCUCCAGAAUGAAGACCAAUUUUCAACAAACUGCAGUUCCUGUUCGCUACACAAGCUAGCCAGCCACAGGUUAAGCGAGAAUAAUCUGCUGAACCGCUCAUCAUUGCUUCUCGCAGGCAAAGGGGCCAGAGACAAUUACUCGAUGCCGACACAUUUUUCUGGCAAGAUUACAAAUUCUGGCUAUGUUCCUGUUUGUAAUCUCUGAUUGCCUCAUCCUUUGUUCAUGCAUUUUUUUUCCUAAUGUAAAUCCUGUGCAUAGUUAUACUUGUAAAUAAAUAUUUAUUUCUUUCCAAA